GACAGAGGUGCCGAGCGUUAGGCGGAAUCACUGGGCUUAAAGCGUGUGUAGGCGGGCCGUUAAGUGCCUUGUGAAAUCCCACCGCUCAACGGUGGAACUGCUUGGCAUACUGGCGGUCUUGAGCCAGCUAGGGGCGACCGGAACAAACGGUGGAGCGGUGAAAUGCGUAGAUAUCGUUUGGAACGCCAAUGGUGAAAACAGGUCGCUGGGGCUGUGCUGACGCUGAGACACGAAAGCCAGGGGAG
rnacentral:rRNA from 1 species